CGACCUGAGAUCAGACGAGAUUACCCGCUGAAUUUAG
rnacentral:rRNA from 1 species